GCUUAUGGCCACCUCUGAAGCCAAGCAGGGUCGAGCCUGUUUAGUACCUGGAUGGGAGACCGCCUGGGAAUACCAGGUGCUGUAAGUU
rnacentral:rRNA from 1 species